AGUGAACGCUGGCGGUAGGCCUAACACAUGCAAGUCGAACGGCAGCACAGUAAGAGCUUGCUCUUACGGGUGGCGAGUGGCGGACGGGUGAGGAAUACAUCGGAAUCUACUUUUUCGUGGGGGAUAACGUAGGGAAACUUACGCUAAUACCGCAUACGACCUACGGGUGAAAGCAGGGGAUCUUCGGACCUUGCGCGAUUGAAUGAGCCGAUGUCGGAUUAGCUAGUUGGCGGGGUAAAGGCCACCAAGGCGACGAUCCGUAGCUGGUCUGAGAGGAUGAUCAGCCACACUGGAACUGAGACACGGUCCAGACUCCUACGGGAGGCAGCAGUGGGGAAUAUUGGACAAUGGGCGCAAGCCUGAUCCAGUCAUACCGCGUGGGUGAAGAAGGCCUUCGGGUUGUAAAGCCCUUUUGUUGGGAAAGAAAAGCAGCAGGUUAAUACCCCGCUGUUCUGACGGUACCCAAAGAAUAAGCACCGGCUAACUUCGUG
rnacentral:rRNA from 1 species